UAGAAACAAAAGGGAUUCUACUUCCACCUGCCAAUUCAGCCCUAAACGUAGAAAAUCUUUUAACCUAACCUAAUCUGCAGCCUUUGCAAAAUCGGUUGCCUUGUCGAUCCGCCAUUCCAAAUUAGAUUUCAUAUGAUAAUAUCAUUGCAUGUAUUGCAUAUUUAGUAAUGCAAAUGAUUUCAGAAUUCACUUGAUCUCUACAAUGCUGAAAUCUUCUCCACCCUUCAGGAAACCUGCUUUUUGGAAGGGUAAGGGAGUCUGGGGUUUCAGAAGUCAUUGCCUCUCAUUGUAUUUUAUGUAUUUGAGGCUGAAGUUCCCACUACUUCUCACCGUAUUUAAUAUAAUUGCGGUGCCACUGCCCUCUUUCUCUCGCUGCCACGACUUCUGCCCUUCACUGUAUAAUGUUUUUAUGAACUAAAGUUAUUGUUCAAAGAAUUCAGUGUACCAUUAUUUACAAGUGCAUACUGUGUUUAUGUAUCUAUAUCUUCUUUACCUUACAAGCUAAUUGAGGCUAAUGGCACAUGGGGAAGUUUUCCACAGUGUAUUUUAGCUGGCAGAGAAAUAACUGAACCCUAAGUUAUCGGUGGCAGUAUUGGAGUUUGACUAGACAAAAGCAUUGAUCAGGAGGUAAUUCACUGCUCUAUGCUUUUUAUGGAAACAAACUGUUUAGUAACAUUAGUAUCUUGUUACUAGAGUUCCACUUUCUUCCCUAUUGGCUGCAUUUUCUAGAUUAACCCUUCAUUCAGUCAGUGCUUACUUUUAUUUUUUACUCUAAAACUUGCCAUACACAAAAAUACCAAAGUAACAAAAGGAACAAACCCCAAAAUGAAGCUUAACAUUACAAUUAAAAAGAGCGUCUGGGGCAGGAACCUUAAAUCACAAGAUGAGUACAGUAAAUCUAUAAGUCCGAUAAAUCUAUAAGUCUAUAACCAGAAAAUUAACUCAAAAACUUAAGCACAAGUAUGGGACCUGUUAUCUGGGAGGUUUCAGACCUGGGGUUUUCCAUAAUUUAGAUCCCCAUACCUUAAAACAUUCCGUAUACACAAUAACUCCAAUACAAUUCUUACAUAAAAGUAGUUACCAUCAAGUACAUGAAAUGGUUUUAUAAUUACAGAGCAAAUAAAAGUUCAGCAGCCAGGAUAAGGAUAAUGGCACACUGGAUGUUUUCAUUUACUGCAAUAAAUCUUUGCUACCAAGGGCUGCAUAUCAUCCCUUGUCUCCUUCCCACCAUCUAAUAAAACACAAGUUUCUGGUGGGGAAAAAUAUACCAUGUUUCAUUUUUCCCAACGUUUCCUCACAGUAGCCAUUAUCCUAAUUGCCAGGAAGACGUUAUAAUACUAAAUAACCAACUGCAAAACUUCACUCGGAAUCCCCCCUGCAGGCUACAUUUGCCUCUGGCCAGUGCCUUGGCAUACAUCAGUGGUUCUGGAACCCACCUACCACACACACAUUCCCUUGGAGUACAUUAUUGCUAAUCAGUAGCACUUCUGACUAAACUAUCUGUAACUAACUGCAGUAAAAAAGUUACACUGCAUAUACACCCUGCAGCUCAUACAUACACUAAGCAGUCCCCUGCUGUCCACUGUGUAACCACCCCUGCUGUCCACUAUUGCCACUAUUUACCCACCUGCCAUCCACUAGUGAAAACUGGUCAGCCCCCACCGUAUAUUGCCAGUAAGCAGACCCCCUUUAGUAAAUUAUUGCCACUGUAAGAACGACUAAGUUCCAAGGCUGCAAACUACAAAAGGUUUCUCUGCACACCACAUCAUUAAUACAGACACUUAAAUUGUGCUUAAUUGAUUAAAUAAAGCAUAUAGUUACAACAGUUGUUGUUUUCUGUAAGUUCUAAGGGAUUCCCACAAAAUAUUGCAGGUGAUGCUGAUCGCUGCCCAAAAUCAUUUGAAGAACUACACAUUUUAAGUAGGUUUUAGGCACAUGAGACAUCUUGUGUUUUCUCUGCUGGCCUUAAAACCCCAGAGGAGAAAAUGCAUUAGCCUUAGAGGUUUAAAAGUGCUAUGGAAAAGUAGGGAAAAGUUGAAUCCUUUUGGAUUGUAGGGUUUUUUUUUGGUGGGACUCUUUAUGUUACUGGAAUUGUACAAUACUCUGGAAUCUGAUGGUGUUUUAUAAAUAUGUGAUAUUAAUAAGAAUAACUCUUUAAACACAUUCCUCAUCUCUUUCAGUUUCAGGUGUUCUGGUGUAUGCUGCCUCUUACCUACCAAUGGAUUACAUGAAACUACUGGCUUAUAGGUUGCUGCUAGUCAUUUGAUUGGGGAUGGUUCAGAAGAUAUUACUAUAAAUACUGGAUUUCUAUUAGCCAAACUGUGCACUGCUCUCAGCAAGAACCAACUUAGACUGGGCCUCCAGUUUAAAAGUAAGCAAUGCCAGCCAUGGCAGCCUGAACCUUUCUCUGUAGCAAUGACCUCAUAAGGAUAAUUUUUGUUGAAGGCUAACGCACCAAUGACUACAGGGAAAGAUGGAUGGCUGUAGCUUAAUAGGACAUUGUGUGUGAAUGCUGAUGUGCAAGGGACACUGUAUACCUGGCUUUGAACAGAG